rfam:Brassica napus, WGS project CCCW01000000 data, contig: 2454
AUAAUAUAAGAUACUAUCUCUUAAUUUUUAACUAAAAAAAUCAAGAGACAUCUUUUAAAUAAAAGAUAUAAGAGACGUCUCUUACCUUUUUUAGUUAAAAGCUAAGAGACCGUGUCUUAUAUUAC